rnacentral:tmRNA from 1 species
GGGGCCGAAAAUGGUUUCGACGGGGAUUUUGAAUCAACGGUAGCGAGUCGUAGUGAGAAACUACGCUAAAAGUCUCAAAACAAAUAAAUAACAACAAUAACGAAUUAGCAUUCGCUGCCUAAACGCGGCGAUCACCCUUUAAGACUCCCAUUAUCUUAGAGUGAGUGUCAAAUUUAUGGGAAAACGAAUCUUUGCAAGACGACAUAGCGAAGAGGGUAUUUAUGACGUUAUAGCAUAAAAAUCCUGUCUUUUGGAGUUUUAUGCCGAACAAAAAAUAAAUGACUGCACUCGGAGAAGCUGUUGUGGAUGGGUUUUCGGACGCGAGUUCGACUCUCGCCGGCUCCACCA